UGGAGCUGUUGCCGCCGGCCUAUGCCACAGCCGCAGCAACGCCAGAUCCGAGCCGUGUCUGGGACCUACACCACGGGUCAUGGCAACGCUGGAUCCUUAACCCACUGAGCGAGGCCAGGGAUCGAACCCACAACCUCAUGGUUCCUAGUCAGAUUCGUUUUCUCUGCGCCACGAUGGGAACUCCCAAAACUGCACUGAAACUGAAACAGUGUACUUUAAAAGGGCAUAAGACUCCCAGAGCAGGGGGUGUGAAAAAUGUAGGAGAGUUGUGUGUGCCUGUGUGAGUUCUGUGUGUGUGUGUGAGCUGGGGGGUGGGGGGGCUUGUGGCUCUUGGUAGGGAGACUGACCCUCUUUACUCUGCCCCCACCCCCCUUACCUCUCUCUUUGAGGGGCUCAGGCUUUCUGGGAGACCCUGGUGCUUCAUCCAGACCUUAACGUGGGAGAUGGGCCCUAGAGCAGUCUUCUGCAGCACCCUGUGUACAGACACCCCCCACCCCCCAAGCAUAAUCUGGGGUCACUAAAGGACGUUACACAUUAUACGUCCGACUUGGGUAGUUUUCGCUUUUAUGAGGACGUCGAGGCAAACUCCAAGCAAUGUCACGGCAACUGCUCUUGCCCGGCUCCUACACUUUUAAGGGCUUUUGCCCAAGGUGGAUUUAAAAGAGCUGGCAGAGAUGCUGAGACUGGUGGGUUAGUUUCUCUGGUUCAGAUUCUAGGACUAAGAGUCAGGCAGCAGAGGAGACCUCAGGGUCUGGGAGACAGCUGGAACCUCCCCAUUCUGACAUCUUGGAAUCUUGGUGCCUGAGUGUGCCGAGGAGAGGGAAGACGUAAACAAUUUAGUUUGCCUUCAGGAUGCAGGAUCUAAUCUAAACAUGAUUAAGCUGAUUUGAUUUCAUAGAUUGGAAUUUCUAAGUGAUAGAAACUGAUGAGGUUAAUGUGAAAUAUUUACUUAAUAAAAAGCCUCAUUACCUGAUGAUGCUGAAGGGUAAGGAGAAAACAGCUUCUCAGUAACGCCCGUCUGAUCUUUUGGAAAUGAAGUUGGGUUAAAGUUUUCUUGGUAAAAACUGAAUUCUGUGAUCUUGUUUUUACACAUGCUGUGCUUAAAUAUUAACACCAAUUGAGCAAAUUGCCUUUUAACUGCCUUUAUUUGCUUUCAUUAACAGUAUAAUUUAAAAGCUCAAGAAUUUGCAUAGAACCUGUUGUGCACGUUGGGGGGGUACUGUUCAUAAAUUAAUUAAUCGUGAGAACAUUAUCUUUAAGGAAGGUCAUGAAACACAAGCAUGGUUUCUGAAAAGCAAUGACAUGGUUUUUUUUUUUUUUUUUGCUAUUUCUUGGGGACUUGAUGUACUUUUGGCUUAGAUCUCUCUCUCUCUCUCUCUCUCUCUCUCUCUCUCUCUCUCUCUCUCUUUCUGUGUGUGUGUGUAAUANGUGUGUGUGUAAUAACUUGGCAGGAUCAAGAAAAAUUUUAAUGACUGGACAUGUUUUAAGUUAAGUUGAGUGAACCUAAUUACACUGUAGUUUCCAAAGAGCUGAAGGCAAUACCAUUGGUAUUUAAGCACUAGUUUCAAAAUUAAAACCAACCUAUAUAAUUGGCUGCACUCCUUAAAUUGUUUCUCUCCUCCUCUCGUCAUCUCGGAACCACCCCCACCCCCUCACUUUCACACCAACUGGGAGAGAGAGAAACUGGCGCUGCUGUGACUUGACCACCGCAUCUGCGUGUAACAUGACCUACAUUGUCCUUUCAUGAAUCGACUCCCGACAUGUGAAAAGUUUCCAGAAUGAUUUCACUGAAAUCAGUUGCCUUCUUCUGUACAGAUGUUUCUGUGGUUUAGAACCUCAGCCAAGGCAAACGUUCUGAAUGAGACGGAGACCACCAUGCCCUGCGAUGCACUCCUGUGCCCAAGCUCUCUGACACCUCUGUUUUGACCAUGCUCUGCCUCUCGUUCCCCUUCCGUCUCCCUCUCCUGGUGCUAUUGGUUUGUUGUGGGUGGUUUUCCUAAUUAAUUUAAUCUGCAGUCUUGUUUUUCUGGGUCCACAGAUGCCAGAAUGCUGAAUUUAUUUACCUCCUCUAUUUUUAUUGGCUACCAUUGAGACAUUUUUUCCUCUUCUCUUUUACCCUAAAUCUCUGCUCUUUUUUGGAGGCUUCCAGACCCACUUCCAUAAAGAAAGAAUUUCUGUCUUGCGAACACUUGUCAGAUGUGUUUUCUUGGGUAGGGGAGGGGAAUAUAUAUCUUUUAAAUAAUAUAUAUGUUUAAAAGAGCAUAUUCAAAACUCAAAGAAUAUGGAGUGUUAUUACCUCUGUAUACCUGACCACAUCAAAAAUUUAAAACAUUUUGCAUGCUUUUCUUUUUUUUUUUUUGGUCUUUUUGCCUUUUCUGGGGCUGCUUCCUGCAGCAUAUGGAAGUUCCUAGGCCAGGGGUCUAAUCAGAGCUGUAGCCGCUGGCCUGUGACAGAGCCACAGCAACGCGGGAUCUGAGACGCAUCUGCCACCUACACCACAGCUCUCGGCAACGCCGGAUCCUUAACCCACUGAGCAAGGCCUUGGACCGUACCCGCAACCUCAUGGUUCCUAGUCAGAUUCGUUAACCACUGAGCCACAAAGAGAAUUCCUCUAUUGGGUUUUUAAGUAUUCAUCCUUUGUUUGUUGAAUGUGUAGUAAAUUUUUUUUCCAGUUUAUCAUUUGUCUUUUAAUUUUGAUUAUGGUUCCUUUUAUCAUAUAUCAUUGUAAUAAUUUAUCUGAUUUGAAAAUGUCACAUUGAUGUCUGUAGAAUGGGUAGUAUAAAACCUUUAAUGGUCAUGUUUUAAAAUUUGAAUUUGUAAAGAUAAUUCAGAUAUGGGGGAGAAGGGGGAGAGAGGGAAAAAGGGAAGAAGAAAAGAGAGGAUGAAGUUAAAAGGUUGAUUUUUUUUCUCUAUAAAAAAUCCGUUGUCAUCUGAGGCCCCCUUCUCUCCAAGGGGAAUAUUCUUCUGGUGAUUUCAGCAUGUACUUGUCUCACGAAGAUGUCCCUAUUCUGAAGAGAAUCAUCUUAAGAAUUGUCCAUCCCCAGAAGGCAGCCUCACCCAUUCUUUCUCCUAGACUUCUUUCCUUCUUGGUCUUAUAAGACCUAGUGAAAAUGAAAACUCCAUAAAACCACCUCUAUUUCUAUACACUUUAUUUUAAUCUUUCAGAGGACCUAUUGCUUUCUGGCUUAUGGCAGAAAUAACUUGUGCGUAUCUAAUCUCGCUUUCAGGCAAGGACUCUAUUCUGUCUUACUCAUCUUCAAAUUCUGCACAGUCUUCAGCGGUCACUGUACAAUCAUUAUUUUAUCCACCUUUGUCCUACGCACUCUUCUGAGACCAGUAUAGCCUUCAAAAGAGGCAUCUUGGGCCUGGAAGUCCAGUGCUGCAUGUAUUUUGCAUGAAUAAAGUUGAGGUAUUGACUUGGAAACUGGUUGGAGUUUGGGGAAGAAAAAAAGGGAGAGAAGAAGGAAUCCUAGAGCUGCUAAAUAUCCUUGAUCUCAGGAUAGUCCCCAUCUACAGACCCAUCUACUCAUGACCCUCCCCUCUCCUCCUGCCCCAGAGUUGAGUUCCUGGUAGUUUAUUCAACAGAUGAGUAUUGAGCACUGAUGAGUGUUUUGCUUUGAGUGAGAUGAUGGAGGACAAAUAGAUGGCCUGAUGCUUGUCCUAGUGGAGUAGUCUCUAGUUUGAGAUUUGUUCAGGAAAGGGGGCUAAAAAAUGCAGACAUUCUGUCAAGGACCCCUUCAUGUUUUAUCCCUUGUUCUUUUUGGAUUUCGCCUCCUCUCAUUCCCUCUUCUUAAAUGAAGCUGGUUGGGGUUUUUUCAAAGCCAACUCUAUGGAGGUUAUUGGAUCCCCAGUCGUUAACUGUCUCAUAACCCAGACAAGACAGGGGUUACAAGUUCUCGUUCUUCAUCUGGAACCUGGCAUUCAUUCUUUUAUUUGUGGAUUCAUUUAUUCAUUCACUUAGUCAUUCAAUAAAAAAUUUGUUUAGAUAUUUAAGUACGUGAAGCAGCAAAGCUCUCUCUAUUAAAAAGAUGAUUUUUAAUGGAAGUAAUGGAUGAUAAGGAUAUAAUUGUUACUGAGAAACUUACUCUGUCAGCUUAGAACCUCCAGAUGAUUCAGUAGAAAUAGUGCUAUUUCUGUCUCUAUGACACACUUUCAGAAAGUAAGUAGAAACACUAUGGCUCUUUUCUUAAGAGUCUAGGAUAACCUGAUAUUCAAAUUGGAGAUGAUUUCUGGAGAAUAUGUUCCUGAUACUUGGCACAAUAUUUGUCACAAAGUUGGGGACUGAUUAAUGUUUGUUGGAAGACGGAAUAGUGGAUGAAUACUGGAAGUAGGAAAUUGAUGAGAGAGUUAUUUUCAGAUGUUGGGGGUGGGGGGAGAAUCUGAUUGGGGAGGGACCGAUGGGGCUCCAGUGUUUAUAUGUGGCUCGUAUAUCAUUCUUUAGACCUUGGAAUGUCUGGAACAUUAAAAAUAUUCUUUCGAUUCUCUCAUCCAGUUGAUCUGUGCCUUUGCUGUUAAGUUCCAGCCUUAGGGCUAUAGAAGCAGCAGGGAGAUGAUUUAAACUGUAGUAUUUGGAAUCUGACUCAUAUCCCUGAGGACUCGGUUUCCACCCCUGGCCUUGCUCAGUGGUUGGGGACCUGGCGUUGCCGUGAGCCGUGGUGUAGGUCGCAGAUGCGGCUUGGAUUCUGCGUUGCUGUGGCUCUGGCGCAGGCCAGCAGCUGUAGCUCCCAUUCGACCCCUAGCCUGCAAACUUCCAUAUGCC
rnacentral:lncRNA from 1 species